rnacentral:misc_RNA from 1 species
UUAAGUUCAGCGGGUAUCCCUACCUGAUCCGAGGUCAAACGUGAUAAAAGGCUUAAUGGGUGCCUAUAGAAUAAGUAGUAAGACGCAAAAUGUGCUGCGCUCAAAACCAAAUAUAGGCUGCCAAUCGCUUUAAGGCGAGUCCAAACGCAGAGAGAGGACAAACACCCAACACCAAGCAUAGCUUGAAGGUACAAAUGACG